rnacentral:rRNA from 1 species
AUGGACAUCUACAACGUGGAGGCCGCCGAGAUCCUCGCCCACGAGACCCUCAAUCUCCCCAUCGGCGAGGCCGCCCCCAUCUACGAGAAGCUGCUCGCCACCUUCCCGACAGCGGCUAAGUACUGGAAGCAGUAUGUGGAGUCAUACAUUGUCACGAACGAUGAAGAGACCGCCAAGCAGAUAUUCAGCAGAUGCCUGCUCACCUGCCCUCAUAUUAAUCUCUGGCGUUGUUACAUCAACUUUGUUAAAAAAGUAAACAGCAAAAGGGGCUCUGAGGGUCUGGAAGAGACAAAAAAGGCUUUUGAUUUCAUGCUUAACUAUGUCGGCAAUGAUGUGGCAUCUGGCCCCGUUUGGAUGGAGUACAUUGCAUUCUUGAAGUCAAUGCCGGUUAUGACGCCCCAGGAAGAGUCACACCGCAUGACUACUAUACGUAAAGUAUAUCAGAAGGCAAUUUUAGUUCCAACUAGUCAUGUCGAGCAGCUAUGGAAGGAUUAUGAUAACUUCGAAAAUUCAGUUAGCCGCACCUUGGCAAAAGGCUUGCUAUCUGAGUAUCAACCGAAGUUUAACAGUGCUAAGGCUGUAUAUAGAGAGCGUAAGAAGUAUAUUGAUGAUAUUGAUUGGAGCAUGCUGGCCACCCCCUCUACAGGCUCCUACAAGGCUUUCCAACAACACCUGUCAAUUUCUGAAUCGAGAUCAGUAUUUGAGAAGGAAGAGCAACAGUGUUUGGCAUGGAAAAGACUUCUGACAUUCGAAAAGGGGAAUCCUCAAAGAAUUGAUGUUACAGCUGCUAAUAGGCGUAUUACCUUUACUUAUGAGCAAUGCCUAAUGUAUCUAUACCAUCAUCCUGAUGUAUGGUAUGAUUAUGCUACAUGGCAUGCAAAGAAUGGUUCUACGGAUUCUGCAAUCAAAAUAUUUCAGCGUGCUGUAAAAGCACUCCCUGGUUCUGAAGUACUAAAAUAUGCCUUUGCUGAACUGGAAGAGUCUGUAGGGGCGAUUCAGCCUGCUAAGACAAUAUAUGAGUCUCUUAUAGCUGAAAAUGCAAGCAUGUCAUCACUUGCACACAUUCAGUUUAUUCGGUUUUUAAGGAGAACAGAAGGCAUUGAAGCAGCUCGCAAGUACUUUUUGGAAGUUCGGAAGUUGCCAAGCUGCACUUAUCAUGUCUAUGUUGCAUAUGCUACAAUGUCGUUUUGCCUCGACAAAGAUGCGAAGGUGGCUCAAAAUGUUUUUGAAGUUGGUUUAAAGCGAUUUAUGCAAGAACCAGGAUAUGUCCUCGAAUAUGCAGACUUCCUGUGUCGCUUAAACGACGAUAGAAAUGUACGUGCAUUGUUUGAGCGAGCUCUGAGCUUACUUCCUCCUGAGGAAUCCGUAGAGGUAUGGAAACGAUUUGCUCAAUUUGAGCAGAUUUAUGGGGAUUUGUCAAGCAUGUUAAAGGUGGAACAAAGAAGGAAGGAAGCUUUAUCUAGGACAUCAGAAGAUGUCGUAUCGUCCUUAGAGAACACACUUUAUGACGUUGUUUCUAGAUAUAAUUAUAUGGAUCUCUGGCCAUGCUCAUCAAAAGAAUUGGAUUAUCUGUCAAGACAGGAGUGGCUUGCAAAGAACAUGUCUAAGAAGGCUGACAGGUCAGUUAUGCUAACUAGUGGUGGCGGUUCUACCUUAGAUAAAGGCACUGUUGGAGUUGGUGCCAAUGCAAAGUUAUUGCCGCAGUCUACAAAAGUCGUCCGUCCUGAGACUUCUCGAAUGGUCAUUUAUGAUCCUAGACAGAUGAAAGGACCAGUGAUUUCAGCCACAUCCAGUGGGUACACAAAGGAGGUUGACGAAAUAUUCAAAAUGCUUUCUCCACCACUCAUGUCUUUCAUCACAAAUUUGCCUGCUAUUGAAGGUCCAUCACCAGAUAUAGACAUUGUGCUUAGCGUUCUACUGCAAAGCACACUGCCAACAGGACAUGAUGUUGGCAAACCGUCUGCUCCAGUUCCUGGCCCUGCCACAAGUGAUCUCUCUGGUCCCCGCAACCAAAAUGGAUCAGUUCGUAGACCUCCAAAAAGGAAGGCUGUUGAAAGGCAAGAGGAAGAAGACGCAGCAGCAGCUGCGCAGAGUCGAGCCAUGCCAGAUAUAUUCAGGCUCAGGCAGAUCCAGAGGAGCCGCGGUGGGGGCCCUGCUCAGUCUGGAUCGGCGGCGAUGUCCAGUGGAAGCAUGUUUUCCGGGGAACAAUCAGCCAACAGCUCAAGCUAG